rnacentral:miRNA from 1 species
ACUCUCCCUCAAGGGCUUCUGG